UACGUAGGGGGCGAGCGUUGUCCGGCGUUACUGGGCGUAAAGCGCUUGUAGGCGGUCCACCAAGUUUGGGGUGACAGUUGCCGACUUAAUCGGCAAAGUGCCUCAAAGACUGGCGGACUUGAGGGCCACAGAGGGACAUGGAACUCCAGGUGUAGUGGUGAAAUGCGUAGAUAUCUGGAAGAACACCAAAGGCGAAGGCAGUGUCCUGGGUGGUCGCUGACGCUGAGAGGCGAAAGCCAGGGGAGCGAACGGG
rnacentral:rRNA from 1 species